rnacentral:rRNA from 1 species
AUGGGACGUAUUGGGAAUGCUCAGUUAGACAGAGUUUCAUAUUUGUUUGAGCAGGAGCGGCGCACAUGGGAUAUAGAAUUGGUUCGGAACAACUUCCUUGCUCCUGAUGCAGACGCCAUUCUCAACAUACCAUUGAGGUCUUCUGGAGGAGAGGAUUUUUAUGCUUGGGCUCUCGAACGAUCAGGUGUUUACUCCGUCAAAAUAGCUUACCGUGCUCUAAUGACUCGCAAAGAGCAACUAGCUCCAGAGGAAGGGACGGUACCGGGACCAUCAUCGCCGGAUAAUCACUUGUGGAGGGUUGUGUGGAAACUCAAGGUUAUACCAAGAGUUCGUGUAUUC